rnacentral:rRNA from 1 species
GCCUAACACAUGCAAGUCGAGCGGUAGCACAGAGAGCUUGCUCUCGGGUGACGAGCGGCGGACGGGUGAGUAAUGUCUGGGAAACUGCCUGAUGGAGGGGGAUAACUACUGGAAACGGUAGCUAAUACCGCAUAACGUCGCAAGACCAAAGUGGGGGACCUUCGGGCCUCAUGCCAUCAGAUGUGCCCAGAUGGGAUUAGCUAGUAGGUGGGGUAACGGCUCACCUAGGCGACGAUCCCUAGCUGGUCUGAGAGGAUGACCAGCCACACUGGAACUGAGACACGGUCCAGACUCCUACGGGAGGCAGCAGUGGGGAAUAUUGCACAAUGGGCGCAAGCCUGAUGCAGCCAUGCCGCGUGUGUGAAGAAGGCCUUCGGGUUGUAAAGCACUUUCAGCGGGGAGGAAGGCGUUAAGGUUAAUAACCUUGGCGAUUGACGUUACCCGCAGAAGAAGCACCGGCUAACUCCGUGCCAGCAGCCGCGGUAAUACGGAGGGUGCAAGCGUUAAUCGGAAUUACUGGGCGUAAAGCGCACGCAGGCGGUCUGUCAAGUCGGAUGUGAAAUCCCCGGGCUCAACCUGGGAACUGCAUUCGAAACUGGCAGGCUAGAGUCUUGUAGAGGGGGGUAGAAUUCCAGGUGUAGCGGUGAAAUGCGUAGAGAUCUGGAGGAAUACCGGUGGCGAAGGCGGCCCCCUGGACAAAGACUGACGCUCAGGUGCGAAAGCGUGGGGAGCAAACAGGAUUAGAUACCCUGGUAGUCCACGCCGUAAACGAUGUCGAUUUGGAGGUUGUGCCCUUGAGGCGUGGCUUCCGGAGCUAACGCGUUAAAUCGACCGCCUGGGGAGUACGGCCGCAAGGUUAAAACUCAAAUGAAUUGACGGGGGCCCGCACAAGCGGUGGAGCAUGUGGUUUAAUUCGAUGCAACGCGAAGAACCUUACCUGGUCUUGACAUCCACAGAACUUUCCAGAGAUGGAUUGGUGCCUUCGGGAACUGUGAGACAGGUGCUGCAUGGCUGUCGUCAGCUCGUGUUGUGAAAUGUUGGGUUAAGUCCCGCAACGAGCGCAACCCUUAUCCUUUGUUGCCAGCGGUUCGGCCGGGAACUCAAAGGAGACUGCCAGUGAUAAACUGGAGGAAGGUGGGGAUGACGUCAAGUCAUCAUGGCCCUUACGACCAGGGUUACACACGUGCUACAAUGGCAUAUACAAAGAGAAGCGACCUCGCGAGAGCAAGCGGACCUCAUAAAGUAUGUCGUAGUCCGGAUUGGAGUCUGCAACUCGACUCCAUGAAGUCGGAAUCGCUAGUAAUCGUAGAUCAGAAUGCUACGGUGAAUACGUUCCCGGGCCUUGUACACACCGCCCGUCACACCAUGGGAGUGGGUUGCAAAAGAAGUAGGUAGCUUAACCUUCGGGAGGGCGCUUACCACUUUGUGAUUCAUGACUGGGGUGAAGUCG